ensembl:lncRNA
GGGAAAGGAGUCACAACACAGCUCUGGGAAAGGAAGGUGUGGAUCUGUCUGAUCCUAGCAGGUGUGGGAGUGAAAGGAGAAGAUAAAAAAUGCAAAAUUCAAGGCUACAAGAAAGAAGACAACACCUGCCUUGACAGAUAUGUGAGGACAGGAUGUGGACGAGUUCUCCCAGAACAUGUAAAAAGUGCAUUUACAGAAUGUAUUUAAUAAAGAGAAAAUCCUGAUUGUGCAGCAAUCCUGAAAAUUCUGUAAAUUCACACCAGAAAUGGAUGGUGAAAGGAUAAAUUGGAGAUCAAAAGGAGCCCUGGGGUUCCAGCAUCCACUGAGGCUUUAUUUGCCCAAAUCCAAAUCCCAGAAGUUUCUUGCUAACACUGGGGAGAAGCUUCUGGCCAGUUUUCCUGUACAAGCCACAAUUCACUUCUACAAUGAUGAUGCUGAGUCUGAGGAAGAGGAAGAGCCUUGAAAGACCCAGAAUCCACAUUAAAAAAAUGAAGAAUUUCAAAGGGAACCAUCAGGAAUGGAUGUACAAACAUCUGACCAAACAGAGAAAUCUGGCAGAACUCAAAAGGAAAUUAUUUAUAAUUCUCUUUCCAAGGAAAAUGAGUCAAAGCACCGGAAAAUGGGAGGAAAUCCUUUUGUGUUUUUAGAGACUUUCACAAAAGGCUUAAAUCAGGUUCAUUUCAGUAGCCCAGAUAAAGAAAAUUGGGAGCACUGUACUGAGUCUUUAUUUUAAAUACUACAGUCCUGAGAAAAUGAAAAAUUCAUUGAUUAUGAGGCUGAAUAAUGUAAUGUACAGCCCCAAAACAACCCAAAGACUUUGAAACACACUGAAAUUAGGCAAGGAAUUAUUUAAAUGUUGCUUACUGGCUACAUGGGAUGUAUUUUUUCUGCUAGAAAUGCUGAAUGCCCAGCUGGCCUCACCCAUUUUCAGUACAACACAGGUUCUACCCAACAUUUGUGAUAUUUCCUGGGGUUCUGCCAUUCUCUUCUUAUCAAUUUUCCCUCCUGUAACCUUUUGCCAGCCAGGAAAAAAAAAUCAGCCUUGAUUAAAACCCACAUUUUAAUUUAAUACCACAUUAAAACUUGCAUUAUGUGGCACCUGCUUUUCCUUCCCCACAAUGUUUUUUUCACGCUCAGAGAGUUUCUCAGCACUUGCCUUGCUACCAGAACCUCUAAACACCUCAAAUAUUAAAUAUUUGCCCCCACUAGGUUUAAAAUCUUUUAUUUUUAAUGCUCCUUAACUCCAACCAAAACUGCCAUGGUUUAAAAUGAGAAGCUUGACUCAGCUAAUAAAUCAAGCAGCAAUUCAAUUUAUUAAUUAACAUGGUAACCUGUGAGCAAAGACAGCGCUGAGUGCAGUGGUGGGGGAAAAACUGCACACUGAUUGUUGGGCUUGCUGGUAUUUAUUGAUCAUAUUCAUGCAUAUUCAUAAGCUUUUCCUAGAAGUUUCUAUUUCCCAUUUCUUCCAUCAGCUUUCUGCAGUUUCCAUUUCCCAAUUUUUACGUGAGCUUUCAGCAGUUUCCAUUUCUACCUUUUGACGUCACAAUUCUAUGCUUUUUAUUUUUUAUUCUGUGCUUAUUCUAGGAUCAUCAAUCUAUGAUGGUGAUGCUGGUUCCUUUCCAAUUUCUGUACUCUGCUGUGUGCAUCCCAGGAUGUGUGUGCACGUGGUGGGGUCCAACUUCUGUUUUCUAAGAUCAUUAAUCUAUGGUAGUGAUGUCCAGCUUCCCCUUUUGAAAUCAUUAAGCAACAACCUUGAUGUCUAUCUUCCUUCUCCAGGAGCUUGGGAUAGAGUCACUUCCCUUUUUGUUUAAAUCCUUUAUACAUUCUAAAGCUACAGUUUAAACUCCUUAGUACUCAGCAACAUUCUAAAGUCAUAAUUCAAAAAUUCUUGUUACAAAACAACUCAAGACUCAUACAUUUUAAAGCUACACUUUAAAAUCCUUAAUACUAAGCAACAUUCUAAAGUUAUAAUUCAAAAGUUCUUAUUGCAAAGCAGCUUAAGACUUAUAAUUGUUAUUUGCAAACAAAAGAUUGGUUCAAAAGCCUUCUUCCAUGCUUCCCUUGGUUGUUUAUCAGAACUCAUCUUUAUAGCUCAUAGUCCCAUGUCUGUGCUCCACACAUUUCACAAUUACAAUGACACAGUUUGCCUUUAUUUACCUGACACGAACCACAACUUUGUAUUUCACACCACAGACAAAGCAGAAUUCCAGAUUUUUGAUGUUUCCUGCACCUCAGGUGGUUGUGAGAUAAGGUCAGACACUUUUCAGAAGCCCUGGAAGUGUGUCCCAGCUCCUCCUCUCAGUCAGGUACUAGCAAACAAAGGAGUGCCACACAUUUUAAGUCUGGAAAAAUUCAGAUUCCAAAUGAAUGAACCUAUUAGAAUGAAGGAUUUUUUUUUUUAAGAUCUCCUCUUGCAAACUCAAAAGAGACUCAUUAAUUAAAUAUACACCAGGAGACAACAUCCUGCCACAUAGGGAAUGGCAAGAAUGAGUAGAAAUUGAAACCCCAGAGUGACAAAGGAAAAUUCAGCUUUUAGAUUCAUUUCCACAUCUCCAAACACAGAUAAUUUAAGGUAUUUCACAAGAUAUCCUAAAAUAAUUUUAUUUAUUUAAAAUUUAUUUGAUUUUUUAAAUUUAUUUUUUAAAUUUUAAAUCUAUUUAUUUUUAUUUACUAAUGCUCCAGCUUCCUCAUUAUUUAGUCUGCAGCAAAAGCAAACAAAAGAGCAUCCAGGAUGAUUUCACUGCUCUGUGAUGACCCAAAAAGUUACUGAGGUCCCUUCCCAGCUCGUUAAUAAUUAAGCCCCAAAGUAAACUGGCAUUCAGCUGCAGGGAACUUUCAGUUCCCACUUCUGAUUUUUUACCUCAUCUGCAAUCCCACCCUGCAAUGUCAGAGUGACCUCAGAACCAUCCAAAGCAUCCCAAAAAGGAGUUUAGGGUGAGGGGAGCACUUCAGAGGCAAGGCUGGGAGCAGCUGGAAUUCCUGGCUCAGGUCCCUGUGCCACAAAAACCUUCCCUUGGGAAUUCAGCUGCAACACUCCCAGUCAAUGCUGCUUUCACUUUCCAUUCCCUAAAAUGAUGGCAGCAAAGAGCAACUUGUUAUUCCCUGAUACAGUUCUGCUGCUUUCAUUUUCUAUUCCCUAAAAUGAUGACAGCAAAAAGCAACUUGUUAUUCCCUGCCACAGGGGUGCCUCCACAAAACCUCUACAAUUUCAAAUUCCUCUUGUAUGAAAAGUGAUAAUUAAAGUUUAUUUUCAUACAGCAGUCCUGAGAUUACUCUUGUAUGAAAAAUGAUAAUUAAAGUUGAUUUUCAUACA